CAGUUUUACAACUCUUUUAGAAUGUGUCUAGAAGGUUUUCUGCUCUUUACCAGAAACCCUCU
ensembl:snRNA U7 U7 small nuclear RNA